rfam:Triticum aestivum genome assembly, contig: Triticum_aestivum_CS42_TGACv1_scaffold_080136_1DS
CACCUACUCCCUCCGUCCAAAAAAGCUUGUCCCUCAAAUGGAUGUAUCUAGCACCAAGUUAGUGCUAGAUGCAUCCAUUUGAGUAACAAGUUUGGGACAAGUUUUUUCGGACGGAGGGAGUACUAA